UACGAAGGGGCUAGCGUUGCUCGGAAUCACUGGCGUAAAGCGCACGUAGGCGGAUUGUUAGUCAGGGGUGAAAUCCUGGAGCUCAACUCCAGAACUGCCUUGAUACUGGCGAUCUCGAGUCCGGGAGAGGUGAGUGGAACUGCGAGUGUAGAGGUGAAAUUCGUAGAUAUUCGCAAGAACACCAGUGGCGAAGGCGGCUCACUGGCCGGUACUGACGCUGAGGUGCGAAAGCGUGGGAGCAACAGGAUUAA
rnacentral:rRNA from 1 species